GUGGGGAAUAUUGGACAAUGGGCGCAAGCCUGAUCCAGCCAUGCCGCGUGCAGGAAGACGCAUCUAUGGUGUGUAAACUGCUUUUGUACGGGAAGAAACACUCCCUCGUGAGGGAGCUUGACGGUACCGUAAGAAUAAGGAUCGGCUAACUCCGUUCCAGCAGCCGCGGUAAUACGGAGGAUCCAAGCGUUAUCCGGAAUCAUUGGGUUUAAAGGGUCCGUAGGCGGUUUAAUAAGUCAGUGGUGAAAGCCCAUCGCUCAACGAUGGAACGGCCAUUGAUACUGUUAGACUUGAAUUACAAGGAAGUAACUAGAAUAUGUAGUGUAGCGGUGAAAUGCUUAGAUAUUACAUGGAAUACCAAUUGCGAAGGCAGGUUACUACUUGUGGAUUGACGCUGAUGGACGAAAGCGUGGGGAGCGAACAGGAUUAGAAACCCCGGUAGUCC
rnacentral:rRNA from 1 species